GUCGAAUUCAGUCACCGUAUUUGAAGAUAACGAAAUCGAUGGAGAAAACUUUUGUGCAAUGAAAUUGGUUGGAACAUGCUAAUAGAAAUUAUUAAAGAUAAGAAAAAGUUCAUCGCUUUGUGGACCUCGGUUACCGGCAUGGAAUUUGAUCCAAGUGGCAAUAAAGUAC